rnacentral:rRNA from 1 species
AUACGUAGGGGGCAAGCGUUGUCCGGAAUUACUGGGCGUAAAGGGUGCGUAGGCGGUUGCCUAAGUCAGAUGUGAAAUCCCCGGGCUUAACUCGGGUGGUGCAUUUGAAACUGGGUGGCUAGAGUGCAGGAGAGGGAAGCGGAAUUCCUAGUGUAGCGGUGAAAUGCGUAGAUAUUAGGAGGAACACCAGUGGCGAAGGCGGCUUUCUGGACUGUAACUGACGCUGAGGCACGAAAGCGUGGGGAGCAAACAGGAUUAGAUACCCUGGUAGUCCACGCUGUAAACGAUGGAUACUAGGUGUAGGGGGCGUAGAGCCUUCUGUGCCGCAGCAAACGCAAUAAGUAUCCCGCCUGGGGAGUACGGCCGCAAGGUUGAA